rnacentral:rRNA from 1 species
UACGCUGGCCGCGUGCCUAAUACAUGCAAGUCGAGCGGACAGAUGGGAGCUUGCUCCCUGAUGUUAGCGGCGGACGGGUGAGUAACACGUGGGUAACCUGCCUGUAAGACUGGGAUAACUCCGGGAAACCGGGGCUAAUACCGGAUGGUUGUUUGAACCGCAUGGUUCAGACAUAAAAGGUGGCUUCGGCUACCACUUACAGAUGGACCCGCGGCGCAUUAGCUAGUUGGUGAGGUAACGGCUCACCAAGGCGACGAUGCGUAGCCGACCUGAGAGGGUGAUCGGCCACACUGGGACUGAGACACGGCCCAGACUCCUACGGGAGGCAGCAGUAGGGAAUCUUCCGCAAUGGACGAAAGUCUGACGGAGCAACGCCGCGUGAGUGAUGAAGGUUUUCGGAUCGUAAAGCUCUGUUGUUAGGGAAGAACAAGUGCCGUUCAAAUAGGGCGGCACCUUGACGGUACCUAACCAGAAAGCCACGGCUAACUACGUGCCAGCAGCCGCGGUAAUACGUAGGUGGCAAGCGUUGUCCGGAAUUAUUGGGCGUAAGGGCUCGCAGG